AUUGCCCUAGUAACGGCGAGUGAAGCGGCAACAGCUCAAAUUUGAAAUCUGGCUUUCGGGCCCGAGUUGUAAUUUGUAGAGGAUGAUUUUGAUGCGGUGCCUUCCGAGUUCCCUGGAACGGGACGCCAUAGAGGGUGAGAGCCCCGUCUGGUUGGAUGCCAAAUCUCUGUAAAUCUCCUUCGACGAGUCGAGUAGUUUGGGAAUGCUGCUCUAAAUGGGAGGUAUAUGUCUUCUAAAGCUAAAUACCGGCCAGAGACCGAUAGCGCACAAGUAGAGUGAUCGAAAGAUGAAAAGCACUUUGAAAAGAGAGUUAAAAAGUACGUGAAAUUGUUGAAAGGGAAGCGUUUAUGACCAGACUUGGGCUUGGUUAAUCAUCUGGGGUUCUCUCCAGUGCACUUUUCCAGUCCAGGCCAGCAUCAGUUUUCGCCGGGGGAUAAAGGCUUCGGGAAUGUGGCUCCCCUCGGGGAGUGUUAUAGCCCGUUGUGUAAUACCCUGGUGGGGACUGAGGUUCGCGCUUCUGCAAGGAUGCUGGCGUAAUGGUCAUCAACGACCCGUCUUGAAACACGGACCAAGGAGUCGUCUUCGUAUGCGAGUGUUCGGGUGUCAAACCCCUACGCGUAAUGAAAGUGAACGCAGGUGAGAGCUUCGGCGCAUCAUCGACCGAUCCUGAUGUUCUCGGAUGGAUUUGAGUAAGAGCAUACGGGCCGGACCCGAAAGAAGGUGAACUAUGCCUGUGUAGGGUGAAGCCAGAGGAAACUCUGGUGGAGGCUCGCAGCGGUUCUGACGUGCAAAUCGAUCGUCAAACAUGGGCAUGGGGGCGAAAGACUAAUCGAACCUUCUAGUAGCUGGUUUCCGCCGAAG
rnacentral:rRNA from 1 species